rnacentral:rRNA from 1 species
AUGAACGCUGGCGGCGUGCCUAAUCCAUGCAAGUCGAGCGAACGGACGAGAAGCUUGCUUCUCUGAUGUUAGCGGCGGACGGGUGAGUAACACGUGGAUAACCUACCUAUAAGACUGGGAUAAUUUCGGGAAACCGGAGCUAAUACCGGAUAAUAUUUUGAACCGCAUGGUUCAAAAGUGAAAGACGGUCUUGCUGUCACUUAUAGGUGGAUCCGCGCUGCAUUAGCUAGUUGGUAAGGUAACGGCUUACCAAGGCAACGAUGCAUAGCCGACCUGAGAGGGUGAUCGGCCACACUGGAACUGAGACACGGUCCAGACUCCUACGGGAGGCAGCAGUAGGGAAUCUUCCGCAAUGGGCGAAAGCCUGACGGAGCAACGCCGCGUGAGUGAUGAAGGUCUUCGGAUCGUAAAACUCUGUUAUUAGGGAAGAACAUAUGUGUAAGUAACUGUGCACAUCUUGACGGUACCUAAUCAGAAAGCCACGGCUAACUACGUG